UCUCCUCAAAGCGGUAGACGGUAAUCCCCCUAUCGAAGCCAUCGAUUCGAAUCAGACCCACGGCGAGGAAAUGGCAGAGCGGCCGCGGUGGCAGGAGAGGCAGCAGCUCGCGCGCCUCUGCGACCUCGUCGCCGACUCCCUCCUCCCCCACCUCGAACCCGAACCGCUGGCGACGCGGCGGCCGCAGCUCACGAGAGAGGAAGAGCGGCGCAUACUCGUCGCGCUCUCCCGGGUAAACAAGGCAAUUCGAGGUUGGGACGACGACGAGGUGGAUGAUGGGGAGCAAGGGUGCGCAUCGGAUCAGAUUGUUUCGUGCUCGGAAGAAGCUCACAGUUGCUGUUUGCCACCUGACCACCAUUUUGAUGAUGGGUUUAGCUGCCUGGCCAAUAUUAUCUCCAUAGUGGUUGGCUUACUUCAUCUAUGUAGUGAUUAUAUUAAGCACUCAGCUGGGAAUAUCUUGAUGGCCAUCUCUAAUUCCCUAAUGAAGUUUGAAGCCGUUUGGAUUCAGUUUGUUGAGCUGGUCUGGGCAGCUAUACACACGGUAUCAACAUGCGCUCAUAAUCAUUCUACAAUUAAUGCCACCAAAGGUUCUGUUGGUUGUUCCUCUGCUGCGGAAAGCAUAAGUCAAGACACUACGACUGAAAGCACCAGUAUUACAAGCUUUAUAGCAGUACUCAAACUACGAUGUGUCAAUACCAAUAGGCAGAUAAUGACUUGCCUCUUUCGAGUACUACACAUUAUUCUGAAGCUUCUGAAACUCAAUGACUCUGAACUGAAAGAUGACUUCAUUUGCCUGUCCAUUCAUCAUAUUCAGAAGUUACAUUGGGAUCCUGGUUACCGACUCAAUGCCGGGAAAGUUGUAAGCAUUGUCACAGAUGACCGACAUAGUUUGACUAAAGAUUCUGCACAGUUUGGAAUUGUGUCAGGCAGUCUCCUCCAGCUCUUGUGCUCUUUAGUUGAGCAAAGUGACACAGAAGACACAGACCUACGAGAUAUAUUUGUGGAACUUGCAGAUGUCAUUCCUAGAUUAGCAACUUUCUUACAAGAGCAACAGGAUAUCCCAAAAAGUCUCUCUCAGUAUUCAAAGCACAAAAUAUUGAUGUUAAUGAUAAGGCUUAAGCCUCACAUACAGCAGAACUGCUCACAUGUUGUUUGUUUGCUGAAAUUACUUCAACGCCACUUUCAGAGUCCACUCCAUGAACCUAUGUUCCAACAUAGCACUAAACUGGAGAACUGUUUAGAAGGAUCCCCAUUUUUGUUAAGUGGUGUAGGUUUGGGCGAGCUUCAGGAUAAAUCUACUCGGCACUUACAAAGGCAGGCUAUGUAUUUGUUUCUUAGUUGUUCGAUAGUCUUGGCUUGCAGUGGAAAUGAUAGUAGACUGAAAUGUUCAUGUAAGAGAGAUCAAUGUUGUCACAAGGGGGAAGGCUGCACUGAUAAUUGCAACUAUUUUGGCUUAUCAGAAAUCUCAGUUUGGUUUCAGAGAUGUUGCUUAGACAAGAUUUUGGACUCAAAAUCAUCAACAGACAUUGUUUUAUGCUUUCUGCAGUUAUAUAUGGAGGAGGACGAUAUGUUAUUCAUCAUUCUCUUGCAGCUUUUGGAUGCUCCACUUAUUUCGUUGGCAAUAGAUAAGAUGGAAACUAAAUGGACGUCUGAACUUAUUGGUGCCAAACUGUUCUCCGUAGUUUUUGACCCAGUUCGUAUUUUUCAUCAAUGGCUUUCAUUGUUGCACUAUGAUCACUUGGUACUUGUUGAUUAUCUCAUAUCUAAAGAUGUAGGUGUGCAUUGUGCCCAGUAUCUAUUACGGUGCUUACGACUGGUAUCUGGGUGUUGGGAUGCUUUUGUCGAUGAUUCAGUUUACGAGGCACAAAUACAAAAAUUCAACUGUAAAAGGCAAAGAACCUUGAAAAAUAUAAAUAGUUUAACUGGCAGCUCAAUGGAAGGCACUAAGUUGGGUUCCUCUCAUGACAAGGAAAAUAAGAGCAAAGAACAGCUUUUCCUGAGUGCUAAAGUGUGUCUCCUUUCGUUAAAGCGAACUUUGGAGGAUCUUCAUAAGAAAGAUUUAUUCCCUUACAAUCCAAAGCCUCUGCUUAAAAGCUUGUCCAGAUUUGAGGAGCUCUGUGUGCAGUACUGAAACAAUUAAGUUGCACCCGGUGACACGCUACCAUUUCUGUGGUUGAAUAUUUGGUAAUCAGAUACUGUAACUUCCUUUGCUGGUUACAUGUGUAUAUAUUGGCUCGCACAAUUCAUUUGGUAACUACAACUUUUAAUUAGUACUUCAGUUUAUGAUCUGGUUUCUCUGAUUGGUUGUCCACGGUCUUGGACGCUUCUCCAGCCUCUCUGCGGUGCGGCCUGGUCUCCGUUGCCACCCUCAUUGCCUGGUCACUCUGGCAAUACCGCAACGCUGCAGUCUUCGACAAGAUCAUGCCCUCUACCUCGGACCUUGUUCGCGCGAUCAUGGAGGAAGCUCGCUCCUGGGCAGCUGCCGGAGCCACAGGAGUUAAUGCAUUAAUCCCUGUAACUUGAACUGAUGUUUUUGGGGCUGAGCAUCCCCUCUGUCCUCUGCUCACCUAGCGUCCCGGCCACGCCAGCUUGUAUAAGGAAGUUUGUGGCGUCAGGCUGCACACAAUCAUGACAUUGUAGAUCCUGCGCUGCACCAAAAGUGAAGUGCUGUUGAUAUUUUGUAGGUACCUUCUUCACCUAGCUUAAGUGGUACUGGUUUAGUGGCAAUUGGUUCUUUCGCUUUAUCUUCAUACCUUGCUUUUGCUAUAUAUGAGAAUUAGAAAAUCCGCGAGUUAAAAGCUUCCAUUGGGCAUGGCACGGGCCAUCAGAAUCAGAACAGGAAGAAAGGUAUGGUCCACCCACAACAUAGCACAAAUGAUUCAGUCAGCAACAACACUUGAAUUUGUGCAUACACAACAUACUAUAGGUACUUAAAUGGAAAUUUAGGUUGUCAUACCAAAUGUCAGAUGUUUUAUAGUUUAUAGAUACUCCGAUGAAUGCAUGCAUAUUACAGGCUAUGAUUCAUCUCGCCUGAAACUCACAUGCAGCUUUCUGAUUAUUUUGACAUCAAUAUAUUCAGAGAAAACAGUACCUGCCUUUCAACUCAUUGAUCAGCUUCUACCCUUCGAGAGAAAACAGUACCUCUACAACACAGGACACGUACAUGGGUACAAUGAGUUGAAAGGCAGUUCCAAGGGUCGGAAACAGAGGUAGUAGCAAGUCAGUACUACAGGGAAGAGUUGUAUAUGUAACUGCAGUUUGUGGUCUGUAGAUAUAUGUGCAUGACAAUACAUGUACCUUUCGGCCACCCAAGGACAAACCUUAUAAAAGUAAAUCAAAAUGUGGUUAGACUUCAAUGCAAGUACUUCAGUAAGCAACACACUAUUUCCACCAAUCCAGACUCAAAACUAAAACACAGCAAAUUAAUUGGACACACCAGAUUACCAGUCAUCUUGAGUCCCCAACAGGAAGGCCAUGGCCUCUCUAAUCAUGCUUGUGUCAUGGACCAUUUGGAACGAGCGGAAUGCCCGUGUUUUUCGAAACAAGAGCGCCCCACCACCAAUCUUGCUAAACAACAUCAUCUGCGAGGCAAACCUUUGGAUCACCACGGGAGCUAAAAAAUUAGGGAACAUUAUUUUGUGUGAGUAAUCAUCCAUGCCGUGUAAAAGUGUACCCUUGUAACAAACUCUAUUCUUUUUUUAUUUAAUAGAUGAGGCAAAUCUUUUGCCUCCAUUUCAAAAAUAAAAUAAGUUGUUAUGACGCAAGAUUCGCGCCGCUAAAGACAUUGUGAAGCAAACUAAAGUGGGUCCAAAACUCUCAACAAUUUUACCAAUCGGACAUACCAGAUUCCCAAUCCAUCAUUAUCUUUUAUUGGUCACCUUGACAGAAUGGUAAAAUAUGUGAAUAUAACAAGUACAGUAUAGUUCUGUAAGCAUCAGCAGAAUAAGAUGGCAACUCAGAACUUCAACAAUGGGUCCACACAGUGAGCACUGCCCACCAUCCUCAAAGUGAUGGCUAGACAGAGAGAGUUAAUUAAUGUCUGGAAAAUUAUUUGAGAAGUAUGGCAUUUAAUGAGCCCAAGAACUGGUGCUCCUGGUUGUUCUUGGCAGAGUGGCGGUUCAAUACCACUUAUCACAUUGCAACAAAAUUUACUCCAUUUCAGUGCAUGUAUGGAUUUCCUCCACCUAUGAUUGGUGAAGUCUCAGUACCUAGACCAAUAGAUGCUGAUGCCCAAACUUUUCUCCAGAAAAAAGAAACUAUGAUGGCUCAACUCAAACACAACCUUCUAGUAGCACAAGAAAGGAUGAAAAAGUAUGCAGAUAGAAACAUAACAUAUAGACAAUACAAUGUGGGAGAUAUUCUUUAUUUAAAGAUGCAGCCUUACAGACUUGCAGCAUUUGGUAUCAAGACAGGCUUGAAACUUACAACAAAGUUCUAUGGCCCUUUUUUUCAACGCAAGGACUAAUUUAAAAUUAGAUAAUAAUUUUCAAAUUUAAGAGCAUUUUUUCAAUUUGAGAACAAAUUUUGGACUCACGAACAGUUUUUGAAUUUUGGAACUUUUUUUAAAACUUAAUUGAUAUUUUUUAAACAAAGGAAUUUUUUAAAAUCUCGAAGAUUUUUAAAGAAGCUAAAAAAGAAAAAACAGAAAAUAAAAAUAACAAACAAAAAUAAACGAAAAAAUUUAGGGAAGGCCUGCCACGUAGCUGGGCCAGCCCAAGUUCGCGCGACAGGGCGCGGCCUCGCUUUCCACCGCACGGGUUGGGAAAUAGGAGUCCCGGUCUGAGCCGGCUACCUAUCAUCGUAGGAGAUUCUCAAAAAAAAAAAGACCUAGGAUAUGUACGCAGGUCAGAUCUAGAAAUACGACGUACAGAUACGACCGACCUAGACAAUUACAAAUACCUAGGUCCGGAUCUAGAAAUACGUAGAUACUGGAACCACAUACGUACCCCGGCUUUCCCUUUCGUUUCGAAGCUCUCGCGUUGGGCAGCAAGGUGAUCGGCGGAACGCGAAGAUCAAAUCGAGUAAGUCGCCUUCUUCUUCCUCCGUCGAUCCGAUCGAAUUAGGGUUCGUGCUUUUCGUCCCCUUUUCUGCUUCCUUGGUCUUUUGUCUCUGUUCUUGACAGGGCAAGAUCAAGAUGGCCGCGGUUCUUCCUGCGCUGCUGCCAACCCCACCGUCGGCCCCAAUCGCCACGUUGCUCAAGACAUCGCGGACGGACGGGAAGCCUGGCCGUGCGUCGGCGAGCCGGAGAUGGAUAGAUAACAAAUUUAUGAUUCUGGCCGCCGCGUCGGACUUGACCGGCGGUGAGCGCGUCGGACGCGUGCUGUCGGAGAUGAGCGGAGGCGAGCGAGUCAGACGCGUGGCAUCGGACAUGGGCGGCGGCGACCGUGCCGGACGCGUGGCAUCGGACACGGACGGCGGUGAUCGUGCCGGACGCGUGGCAUUGGGCAUGGGCGGCGGUGACCGCGCCGGUCGCGAGGAGUCCCAAACAAGCUGGAGCGCUGUCAAGAGGCCUGCCAGCCGCGCUCCUUCCACCGAUCGGUGUGACAAGAAGCCCAAGGCUCCGGUCGACAAGGAAGCUGCUCCGGAGACAGAGCAACUGUUCGCUGGCCCGACGUUCAUGAGCGUCGUGCCCCCGGAUCCGAGCGAGCUCCCGAUCCCUUGCUACUUCAUGAAGAAGGCCCGCUAGUGGACUAGCAAGUAGCAACAACACAUGGGAUUGGUCCCUUACUACAGUCGUCGUCGUCGUCGUGUAAUCUUGCUUUGUAGCCCAAUUUCAGCGCUUGUUAGAUGCGCUUUUAGUAGUGUAGUAAUUUGUCAUGGCUCUGGGUUGUGUUCAUGUUAGUAAAACCCAACCCAGAGAGGGGCGGAUGGGUGGCAUGACAAUCAUAAACUAUCUUCCAUGUUAUUUUA